UGCUGGGUGGCUCAGUUGGUAGAGCACUUGCCUUCAAAAGACAAAGGUCCUGAGUUCAAGUCUCAGUCCGGCAC